rnacentral:piRNA from 1 species
AAGUGGAAUAAAAGUUUAUGAAUGG